CUGCCAGAUAGGACAGCUCGGGCGGGUGAUUCGGCACUUUAUAGGUGUAGUCCUUCUUCUUGCUCCGGCGUUCUUCACGCCACUGGCGGA
rnacentral:tRNA from 1 species